rnacentral:tRNA from 1 species
UCCUGGGUGGCUCAGUCGGUUGGGCAUCCGACUUCGGCUCGGGUCAUGAUCUCACGGUUUGUGGGUUCAAGCCCCACGUCGGGCU